CCACUAGCAACCUCGCUUUUAUCGUCAGAAUUUCUACCUCUACUAUCUCCAUUGUAUAAAUAUAUAAAAAUAGGAAUAAAUUUUUGUGUUUGGGCCUCCAAGCUUUAUUUCUGGUUCGGGUAGAUUGGAUUUUUGUUGAACAAGAAUUCUCCAAUCCAAGGUGUGUCUUUAGGCCCGUUUUAGUAAAAACAGAAAUAAUGUUUUAUUGGAUAGGUUAAAGAGGAACGGGAGGGUGCGGAAGUUACAAAUCCAAUUCAGAUUUUCAUCGAUUUACUCAUUCCUAAUCCUACCCUGGUUCGCCAUCGCUAUGAGCAACGGUAAUCAGAGAUUGUUGAACCCGAACCCGAAUCCAGAAAGGGUGCUGAAAAUCCCAGUGAAGAAGACUGAUCCGGUGGAGCUGUACAGGCCGUUACGCAACUUGGCAGCGACAAGAUACUCAGAGAGCGAUGCACAGAAAGUUUAAAACGUUCUCGAAACCCUAAACAAAUGCCGCAAGGACAUAGUGGAGCGAUUUGGGGACCUCUCAUUUUCCAUGCAACGUGACUGCCUCAUGCACUACUUCAAAUGUCUCUGCAUGGUUGACCCACUCUUCACGGCUGUCUCCUCCGACGUCGACGCCGGCUCCGACCCGAUCACCUUUUUCUGGUACGACGCCUUCCUCCCCGAGCAUGAGGAUGGGGUCUCCUCGCAGCGCAACAGCAUCCAAUUGGAGAAGGCUGCUGUUCUCUUCAACCUUGGCGCCGUAUGCAGCCAGAUUGGGGCCUCUUGCGACCACAACACCGCCCUUGGCCGUCACCUUGCAAUGGACGCCUUCAAUGCCGCCGCCAAAUUCUUCUUCAAACUCUGGAAGGAUUUUGCCAAGGGCGUCUCCGCCACCCUCGACUUGACUCUCGUCUUCGCCGAGGCUCUGCACCGCCUCUUCUCCGCUCAGGCUUCCGAGCUCAAAUUACAGCAACAACUCCACGACAACAACAACAACAACAACGACGCCGUCGCCAGUCCCGCUCUCCAACAGCAUCGAAUUGCCGUUUCGUUUAAAUCGAUUUUUAAGCAUUAUCAGAGAGCAUGUGAUCUGAUACUUGGUGAUUCGGCGGCAAUCAAACAUGUCUGCUCAUUUGACGAAACUUGGAUACCUCAUCUUCGUCAUAAGAAGAAAUACUUUCAGGUGCAGGCUCGUCAGACGCGAUCAUCCAUCCUACCCGAAUCCCAGCUACCUGAUACAUUCUCAUUGCUCCAAUCUUGUCCUGUUGGUCAUGAUGCAGAAUCUGUCACUGAAAAACUAGUUGGAGGGAUUUGCAGCCAGGCGUACCAUUGGAGACCCAAGCAACAAGGAAUAUACCUUGACCUCAUCCUUUUCGAGUACAGCCCUUUCAAGAUUAUGGAUGGUGGAAAGCUGGUGGCUAACCCAUGGGACAUGCCUCCUCCUUAUCCAACAAAUUUCGCAAUCCGCUCAUCUUCGUUUCCGUCACAUAUUCUGGCAUUUCCUUUGAAGAAGACUGAGCCCUUAGACCUCUACGGGACUCUGCGCAACUACUUUGUCUUCAAAUACUCUGAGAGCAUGGCAGAGAGAGUAGAAGGCCUUCUUCAAAUGCUAAACAAAUUGCGUAGUGAAAUGCUGCGUGAUGACCUCUCUCUACCCGUUCGCCGUGACUGCCUCAUCCACUAUUUCAAAUGCCUUUGCAUGAUUGAGCCUUUGUUCCUUAUGACUGACUUGCCUAAUCCGCCUAUCUUUGUUUGGUACGAUGCCUUCAACCCACAACAGAAGUCUUCUCAGCACCAUAUUCAUUUCGAGAAGGCCUCUGUUCUCUUCAACCUGGGAGCCCUCUGCACCCAAAUUGCUCUCUCCUGCGAUCUCACCACCAUCCAAGGCCAUCGCCUUGCUAAGGACGCCUUAAAUGAUGCUUCACAUUGGUUUUUCAGACUGCCUCUUGAGGCUAAGAAGGUAUCUGCCACCAUUGACUUGUCCAUAAACUGUGCCAGGAUGCUGCAUGAGAUAAUAUCCGCUCAGAUUGCCGACUUGGAAUGGAAUUUUCCUCAUUCUCGUUCUGAUAGAUCAUCAUUACCUGUUACUCUGCUUUAUCAGAAAGCUUAUGCUCUGUUGACAUCUGGGCCUGAGAAUCUUGUUCCAUCCUCAAUACCUCAAUAUCUUGAGGAGAAGAUGAAAACCUACGCAGUUGAAACUGCUCCUACUGAUGUCACUGAACAAUUUCUAUCAGGGUAUUGUAUGGCUCAAUCCGUGCUUCAAAAGAGUUGUCUACCACCAUGCUUGGACCUUCUCUCCGAGGUUGGCCCUAUCAUGAUUAAGGAUGGAAAUUUUGUGACCAACCUUAGAGGCAGUAUCAGUCGCAUCGGAGGAGAUGAGCUCCCAAGAGACCUCAGUAACAUGAGCAUAAACUGAAACUAGACGAACUUUAGGAAUUAGCAUUGGAGGAGAUGAGCAAUCCUCAUAGUAGAUUUUAUGUUGGUUUCUAAAAUAGAAAACUACUUAUUUAGGUUUUCGAAGUGGCGCCCUCCUUGCACGUGGUGGAGCUGAGGAAAACUGGUGGCUACACACUGGAGUUUCACAAGUUCUAAAAAAACUUCUCUUCACGGUUGCAGGACAUAGUUUGGCAUAAUGAAAAAAAAAAUUGAGGAAUAAAAGGUACAGCCUAUUCUUUUUUGCUCUAAUAUAUAUAUCUUAUUUUUAAUAACAAAAUGUUCAAAUAGAUUUGAUGCCAGCCAACUCACUAAAAUUAAGAUACAUUCUAGUAUCAAAGAAUAGUGAUAAUAGGCAUGUUUAUACAAUAGAAUUAGAAAAUAGAUUUUGGCGAAUUUGUUAUAUCAUUUUAUGGUAUGCUUUAUCUCAGAGUUUUUUCUAUUGAUCUUUCUAAUGAUUAAAUAAUUGGAUGGAUUAUAGUCACAAAAAAAAAUAAUUGGAUGUAUUAUGUGUUGUGUUGCACUGGCACAGGUGCUGUAGACACCAUGCAAUUAUCCCGGUUCAUGGAAUUAUGAAUGAGAUAGAGUAACUUGUUAAAUUUGGAGAGUUUUAAAAUUAAAUUUGAGAGUAAAUUAAACUUUUGUAUAUAGUUCUUUCAUAUCUUAAUUUGAAUAUAGUUCACUCUUCCCACAAAGAAAAGUAGUGAUAAAAGAUUUCGGAUUUUGAACAUGUAAUAUAAUUGAACAUAAGUAUUCUAUGAACUACUAUGUGUGUGA